CCCGUGGCUCACACACAAAGUAUGAAGAGAGGGAGAGAGCUGCUCGUGAGAACGGGGGUUAGGUGACACCAACCCUAGAAUCGCCACUGCUUAUACUCAGUAUCCUCUGGGUUCUGCAAGCAACGCCUUAUUUUCUGCAAAAUACUCUGACUAGAUUCUGGAUCCACCAUUGGCUUCAGGUUCCUUGCUGAAGAGUUUUGGCUGGAAGUAAUCAUCAUGACGUCCUGGGCCAGAUGGGGAAGAAAAGAACAAGAGAACGACUUCAAUCAGAGAAGACGUCACUU